rnacentral:rRNA from 1 species
ACGGGGGGAGCAAGCGUUGUUCGGAAUCACUGGGCGUAAAGGGCGUGUAGGCGGUCAGGUAAGUGGAAUGUGAAAUGCCCCGGCUCACCCGGGGACCGGCAUCCCAAACUGCCUGGCUUGAGUAUGGGAGAGGAUGGAGGAAUUCCUGGUGUAGCGGUGAAAUGCGUAGAUAUCAGGAGGAACACCGGUGGCGAAGGCGUCCAUCUGGCCCAAUACUGACGCUGAGGCGCGAAAGCUAGGGGAGCAAACGG